UCGAACGCUGGCGGCGUGCUUACAACUUCCAAGUGAACGGAAAGGCCCGCCUUUCCUUGUGGGUUUGCGGUACCCGGGUGGCCAACCGGGGAGUUAAACGGGAGUGAAUCGCCCCCCAACUUGGUAUAAGCCCUGGGAACCGGGGCUUAUUUCCGGUUAGAAUUCCGGGUGGUGCCUGGGGUUGAAAACGGAUUUUCAGGUGGUGGGGGUUGAGCUCGCGGCCUUCCAGCUUGUGGGUGGGGUAAGGGCCUACGAGGGCGGCGACGGGUAGCCGGCUGGAGAGGGUGGACGGCCACAUUGAGACUGAGAUACGGCUCAGACUCCUACGGGAGGCAGCAGUGGGGAAUAUUGCACAAUGGGCGGAAGCCUGAUGCAGCGACGCCGCGUGGGGGAUGACGGACUUCGGGUUGUAAACUCCUUUCGACCGCGAGGAAGCCACCUGGUUGGAAGGGUGGUGACGGUAGUGGUAGAAGAAGCACCGGCUAACUACGUG
rnacentral:rRNA from 1 species